AUACGUAGGUGGCAAGCGUUGUCCGGAAUUAUUGGGCGUAAAGCGCGCGCAGGUGGUUCCUUAAGUCUGAUGUGAAAGCCCCCGGCUCAACCGGGGAGGGUCAUUGGAAACUGGGGAACUUGAGUGCAGAAGAGGAUAGUGGAAUUCCAAGUGUAGCGGUGAAAUGAGUAGAGAUUUGGAGGAACACCAGUGGCGAAGGCGACUGUCUGGUCUGUAACUGACGCUGAGGCGCGAAAGUGUGGGGAGCAAACAGGAUUAGAUACCCUGGUAGUCCACGCCGUAAACGAUGAGUGCUAAGUGUUGGGGGGUUUCCGCCCCUCAGUGCUGCAGCUAACGCAUUAAGCACUCCGCCUGGGGAGUACGGUCGCAAGACUGAAACUCAAAGGAAUUGACGGGG
rnacentral:rRNA from 1 species